GUUUGCUUCGGCAGCAGAUAUACUAAAAAGUUGGAAUGAUACAGAAGAUGAGCAUGACCUCUGUGGGAUGAUGUGUAAAUUUGUGAAGAAAGCUAGAUAAAU